CACCACGUAAAGGCAGACCUUCUGAGGUGCAGACUGGUCUGUGGCCUGGAGAAGGGACCGCAGCACUUCACCCCCCACAUGGGUGGCCUGAAGGAGGGGUUCUUCAACCUGAGAACCAACCUGCACUUCGUCCUGGAGAAGGAGGCUGGGAGAGAUGACCAGAGGAGGCAAGACUGGAUGCAGGUGUUAGACAAGAGCAAGGAAUGGGAGAAAAAGGCAUAAAAACUGGUGGACAGUUUAGAUUCUCUGCAGAGUCACCAGCUACUGGAAGAAGAAGGGGAUGAGAGGGAGACAAUAUAGAGCAGUAGCAUGGAGAAGUGGAGCAUCACCCUCCCCUCAUUCCCCUUCUGCUGUGACGAUGCCUCAGAGGAACCUCUCUAUGAGACCUGCUUCUCCAUAUCGCAAUGGGCAAUAUGUAGGCCGGGAGAAAAAGAUUGGGCAUAGCGCCCAUUGUGGGUUGAAGGAUUCUGAAGGCAUGCAGCAUUUACUAACAGUCCAAAAAAGACUGAAGAACCUCCAGUCAGAUGAAUUCCAGGGGAGUAUCAAGGGUUUACUUCGGAUGUCAUAGCAACAGCAGCUAAAAUAUUUGGGACCACUGAAUUACUGUACAACUGAGGGAAAUCCCAGUGCCUGACAAUAUGAGAAUUGUUAAAAUAAUCAGAAUGAUUUCAUGGCAA